rnacentral:rRNA from 1 species
UCCGUAGGUGAACCUGCGGAAGGAUCAUUACCGAGUGCGGGCCCUCGCGGCCCAACCUCCCACCCUUGUCUCUAUACACCUGUUGCUUUGGCGGGCCCACCGGGGCCACCUGGUCGCCGGGGGACGCACGUCUCCGGGCCCGCGCCCGCCGAAGCGCUCUGUGAACCCUGAUGAAGAUGGGCUGUCUGAGUACUGUGAAAAUUGUCAAAACUUUCAACAAUGGAUCUCUUGGUUCCGGCAUCGAUGAAGAACGCAGCGAAAUGCGAUAAGUAAUGUGAAUUGCAGAAUUCCGUGAAUCAUCGAAUCUUUGAACGCACAUUGCGCCCCCUGGCAUUCCGGGGGGCAUGCCUGUCCGAGCGUCAUUUCUGCCCUCAAGCACGGCUUGUGUGUUGGGUGUGGUCCCCCCGGGGACCUGCCCGAAAGGCAGCGGCGACGUCCGUCUGGUCCUCGAGCGUAUGGGGCUCUGUCACUCGCUCGGGAAGGACCUGCGGGGGUUGGUCACCACCAUGUUUUACCACGGUUGACCUCGGAUCAGGUAGGAGUUACCCGCUGAACUUAAGCAUAUCAAUAAGCGGAGGAAAAGAAACCAACCGGGAUUGCCUCAGUAACGGCGAGUGAAGCGGCAAGAGCUCAAAUUUGAAAUCUGGCCCCUUUGGGGUCCGAGUUGUAAUUUGCAGAGGAUGCUUCGGGUGCGGUCCCCGUCUAAGUGCCCUGGAACGGGCCGUCAUAGAGGGUGAGAAUCCCGUCUGGGAUGGGCGGCCGCGCCCGUGUGAAGCUCCUUCGACGAGU